rnacentral:misc_RNA from 1 species
GGCAAUUUAGACUGUCUCCUCACUUUGAAAAGGACUCACCCCGCCUCUUGCCUCUCACUUGAGACCACAGGAUACCUUGUCACCUUAAUGUAGCCUCUCGCCUUAAUAAUAAUGAAAGAGAAGAAUAUUUGCCAAAAAAAUCAAACUAGAGAAACAAUGCUCCAUUAAUGAAAGAAAUUUCACAGCCCAAUUCUUAGUCACCAAGAACAGCUAAUGGAAGAGCUGAGUCUCCAAUAAAUAAGCUUGUAGUGUGUCAAACUCCCACACAUGCCACCCAAAAUAAAGACUUCACUCACCAAAACCAAGAUUCCCCACUCAUUCAUAAUCUCUAGUUCUCUAACUUUCUUUACACCUAACCCAUCAUCUACCAAGAAGCAUAAAACCUGUCUCGCUCUAUCAAGGCAAAAACAUGCCAUUUCCCAAACAAUUAUGAACACUCAAAAGCUAUUAAGAUCAACUAGAACUCUAUUUUAUUUAGUAUGACAUUAUGAGAUCAUCCUUUGAUGGCUACAAAAAGAUAAUGAUAUUCAAAGGAAAAACAUCUUAUAGUUUCCAAACCCAUAGAUUGCAACUUCAAUUCCAUUGAAGCUAAACAUCAAUGCUAAGUUGCAUAAAGGAGAAGAGCCCAGAGGUCAAAGAACAAGACCUAUCACCUAGAGAAAGUGAAGAGGAAUAAAGAAUUAGGGUUGAAGUUCUGCAUCAUCGUCCUAUCAAUACUAAUAUGGUUAAGCAAGAAUUGUGCCACAAAUUCAUCCUGGUCAAAGAAACAUAAACCAAGCUUCUUGCCUAAAAAAACAAUUGCGUAAAGUUUCAUUUCAUCAACCAAGGGGUAAAACAAAAGGCUUUGAGGGUGGUCUAAUUUUCUGUGUUGCGAAUUCAUCUGACUGCAUUAUCUUAUCAAUUUGGAUGCAAUAUGAUUCUUCUAGCUUCCUUUAUAUAGGUCUUCAAUUGCUUUAAAGUGCAAAGGGCAUAAAAUGAUGCACAAAUCAGAAUCCAAUUAGACCCAAUUCAAAAUGGUCAGCGCCUCCCUCCGAUUGCAUCAAAUAGAACACAGACAAUUCCACGUUAGGUCCACCCAGUCGAGGGGGCAUUGGUGGCAUUCUUCAAGACUGUGAUGGCAUUGCACUCUUUCCGUUCUCUUGUCCAAUGCAAAUAUCUAACUCUAAUGAAAUGGAACCCCUUGCUAUUCACAAAGUUUUACUCAUCUCAGCCCAGCAACUUCCUUCCUUCUCUCAAUACCAUGAGAUAAUUUUUGAGACCAACUCCAAAAUUGUUCUCUCUAGGCUAAUUGGUUCCUCAGAAGGUCCUAGAAGAUUAGCUACUUUGCUCAAUGAAAUCACCAAUUUCAUCUCACUUUUACCUAUAGUGACCUUUUGUCACACCUUGCGGAAAGCCAACCAUUUCACAGACUAGCUAGCAAAAUCAGAAGGUUGCCGCAACGAGGAUUUCUAUCUCCUUUAUAAAUUGCUUCUUGUUUCUUAUCAUGCUAUGCUUAUAUCUCUGUUUUGUUCUUUUGGGUGGCAGGUUAGUUUGUUAGACGGGUAUACUAAGAAUGGAUCUAUUUUUCAUAAGUUCUGCUAUCACUAGUCUUUCCCCUAUUCUCCUCUCCCUUUUAGUUUUUAAUCAAAUUCCAUUGCUUAUAAAAAAAAAAAUGUGAGUGUCAACCAGUCAUUCCACCUUUCUUACUUUUUUCUUCUUCCCACCACGAAUGAGUUUAGGAGAGAUAUCAAUCAAAUUCGUCAACUUGUUCUUUUUUUUUUCUUUUUGAUAAGUUGAAUUUUAUUGAAAACAAAAUAUAAAUAGCAAAAGAAGGUUAAGGGCUCAACAAUCUAACCCAUGUCAGCGAGCACCACCAUUACACCCGGUCCUAAGGAGCCCAAAACCAGCCAAAAAAAGUGACAGUACAAAGACACCAAUAGGAGAAAACAAACCAAAAAUGCUGCAAUAAAGAAGCAAAAUAUCGUAUAAAAAAACCUAAACAAAGUUUCACAUAAAAGCAAUUAAGUUUUCACUGCAAUUCAAUCCUUGCUUUGCCAAACCAUCAACAAUCGAAUUUGCUUCACAGAGAAUAUGAUUGAAUGAUACUUGUUCUUUUUCCUAUGUUUGAGGAGAUGGGACACUUUGAGGCUAGGCUUGUGGGCUCAAAGGGGACUAUAGAUAGAGAAGCAAACUUAUUUGGAUUUGGGUCACCUAUUGGCAGGCAUAUUUGGACCAGGAUAAGUGAGCGAUAGAGAUAAAGGGCUUAAGAUGCUUAAAGGUUAGCUAUACUUAAACAAUUCCAAAUUAAAACAAGGAGAAGUGCAGUUGGUGUCAUAUGGAUUCUUCGAGCAAAAUAAUCUAUGCUAAAUGGUCCUUGUGAUAAAGCUAACAAACAGAGGGUUAGCCUCAUGCAAGGGCUCUGAGUGAAUUGGAGAGAUGGGCGCAUGAUAGGGUGACGUGGAGGAAUCACCAAUCAAACAAGGCUCUAUAGGCAAUAAGUUUCUUGGACUUCCAUACACCAAGGUGGACACCAUAAGUGGUGGUGCUUUGCAAGCUUUCACAGAAAGAAAGGCCUCAUUAUGAUACUUGGUUGAACCAAUGUCCACAGCACACACUUUAUGGAGAAAAUCCAAUUUGGAUGUUGAGAUUAGGAUCCUUGCAGAAUCUAAUUUUCAUUUUUUUGAGGUGCAAUCGUCAAGGGCAAUGAACAUUAUACCUCGGUUACUAAAUAUAAAUUUAAAAAAAAAUAAUAAAAUGUGUUGCUUGCCCCCAAAAAAAUUAUAAAUUAAAAAUGAAUAUAAGUGGUAUUGGUGAAGUGUUAAAAAAUGUUGAGGGUCUUUUUUAUGCGUUUUCUCUUGUUCAGUGGGUGGGCAAAACUCUUAGCUAUUGCAAAGGCAAUCGACUUAAGUUUACAGAUGUUGGAAAGAAUGGGAAAUAUUUGUGAGCUAGUUGUUGAAUCUGAUUCCAAAUCUGCCACUUCUUGGAUUACAAAGCCGAAUGAAGCUCCCUGGAAAUUCUCUUUGAUUAUUAACUCCAUCCUAGUAGGAGUUCAGCAGUUGACUCAGGUUAGUUUUGUCCACAUACCUCACAAGGCCAAUUCUGUAGCAAAUGCUCUUGCAAAGCAGGGAGUGGAUGGACAUUCAGACUUUGUUGCAUUCAUCUAAUUGAAUUAUUAGUUCAUUACUUUAGUAGACCUUUGCAUUUGCUGGUUGUGUUCUUAGUUUGCUAUAAAUGUGUUUUGUUAUACUUUUUGUUUGGUUUGCAAUAGGUCUUGUUGAGGUUUGGAGGCUUUUGUUGUGAUUUUUUCAUGAGAGUUUGUAGCAAUUUGCUGCAGCUCUUGGUUUUGUGGCUGCCUAGACCUUUGGUUUUGCUCUCCUAGCAUUUGUUCGGUUGUGUUUCCUGGACUUUUGUUUAUUUUCUUUUGCAAUGCAAUUUUGGUGCUGUCUUAUUAGUGGAUUUUCUACCUUUCUUUCAAGAUUUUUCACUUAGCAUGCCAUUACCUAGUUUAGGUGCAUCAGGGGAAGCCUAUCGGCUUGAUUUAAUUAGUGAUGUCCAUGCUAAGUUUUUCUUGGAUACUUUUAUUAAUAAAAUAUUGCUUAUAAAAAAAUGAAUAUAAAGAAUAAAAUACCUACAAAAUAUAUGUAAAUAAAUUCUUAUAAGAUGAAAAUUAUAUUAAUGAUAUUUGUG